GGUCAAACGUUGACCCAUGGACCUUGGAUUGAAGGCCACUUGGCAAGAGGUCAUUGGAGACUUUUAGUGGAGUGUCUACCUACUAAAUUAACCCUCAAUGUGGGUGCCAUAAUCAGAUAUGGCAUGCACCCCAAGUGGAUAAGGAUAUAGUCCCAUGAGAUGAGGACUCUGAUCCCUUGAUCAACUUGGACUGUGGGGUGCCAAUCUCACAGUGCUUAUCCAGUGUUGGCGCCAAC
rnacentral:lncRNA from 1 species